CCUACGGGAGGCAGCAGUGGGGAAUAUUGGGCAAUGGGCGCAAGCCUGACCCAGCAACGCCGCGUGAAGGAAGAAGGCUUUCGGGUUGUAAACUUCUUUUGACAGGGAAGAGCAGAAGACGGUACCUGUCGAAUCAGCCACGGCUAACUACGUGCCAGCAGCCGCGGUAAUACGUAGGUGGCAAGCGUUGUCCGGAUUUACUGGGGGUAAAGGGCGUGUAGCCGGGCUGACAAGUCAGAUGUGAAAUCCGGGGGCUCAACCCCCGAACUGCAUUUGAAACUGUUGGUCUUGAGUAUCGGAGAGGCAGGCGGAAUUCCUAGUGUAGCGGUGAAAUGCGUAGAUAUUAGGAGGAACACCAGUGGCGAAGGCGGCCUGCUGGACGACAACUGACGGUGAGGCGCGAAAGCGUGGGGAGCAAACAGGAUUAGAUACCCUUGUAGUC
rnacentral:rRNA from 1 species